rfam:Hordeum vulgare subsp. vulgare, WGS project CAJW01000000 data, contig: morex_contig_58905
AUUAUACUCCCUUCGUCCCAAAUUUUUUGUCUUAGGUUUCUUUAGAUAUGAAUGUAUCUAGUCACGUUUUAGUAUUUAGAUACAUCUAUUUUUAGAUAAAUUUAAGACAAGAAUUUUGAGGCAGAGGAAGUCUAAU